rnacentral:rRNA from 1 species
UAGGGAAUCUUCCACAAUGGACGCAAGUCUGAUGGAGCAACGCCGCGUGAGUGAAGAAGGUCUUCGGAUCGUAAAGCUCUGUUGUUGGUGAAGAAGGAUAGAGGCAGUAACUGGUCUUUAUUUGACGGUAAUCAACCAGAAAGUCACGGCUAGCUACGUGCCAGCAGCCGCGGUAAUACGUAGGUGGCAAGCGUUGUCCGGAUUUAUUGGGCGUAAAGCGAGCGCAGGCGGAAUGAUAAGUCUGAUGUGAAAGCCCACGGCUCAACCGUGGAACUGCAUCGGAAACUGUCAUUCUUGAGUGCAGAAGAGGAGAGUGGAACUCCAUGUGUAGCGGUGGAAUGCGUAGAUAUAUGGAAGACACCAGUGGCGAAGGCGGCUCUCUGGUCUGCAACUGACGCUGAGGCUCGAAAGCAUGGGUAGCGAACAGGAUUAGAUACCCUGGUGUCCAUGCCGUAAACGAUGAGCGCUAGGUGUUGGGGGACUUUCCGGUUCUCAGUGCCGCAGCAAACGCAUUAAGCGCUCCGCCUGGGGAGUACGACCGCAAGGUUG